AAGAGCAGGCUGGACUGGUGUGUG
rnacentral:piRNA from 1 species